CGGAUUUUUCGUGUCCCCAUCGUCUAGAGGCCUAGGACACUGCCCUUUCACGGCUGUAACAGGGGUUCGAAUCCCCUUGGGGACGCCAAUCCGAUAAUGAGUGAAAGACAUUAUCAUGAAUAUCUUAAAGAUGAUUCCUCGGAGUCAUGUUUACGAUAUUGCUCUUUAACAAUCUGGAACAAGCUGAAAAUUGAAACAUGACAGCUGAACAUACAUGACGACCUUCGGGUGUGUCGUGGUGAAUCAGUCUGUCAAUGAGUCUCUCAAAUAAUCGCAGC
rnacentral:misc_RNA from 1 species